GGCAGCUUUUAUUUUAGCCCUUAGGGACGAAAGCGGCAAUGUACUUGAUUGAAUUUUCUUUUCUUUUGAGAAUGUAGAAAGUUUCAACAUCUUUCUAGUCAAAUAGCAAGUUUUAUAAGCUUUAGCGUGAAAGAAAAAAAUAGAUAAGAUGCUGAAUGGCUCAUUAUUGAUACCUCCGGAUUAAGAAUGCUCCUAGUUGUUUGGAAGGUGAAGUUCAGCCCUUCACAGAGCCAGCAGAGCCUCCUUUUGCACAAGGUAACCAAAGGAAGGUUGGCAAGAGAAUCUAGAAAAUUUGUAGACUUCUUGCUAUGAUAUUAGGAAGAGCAUGAAAAGGAAGAAAUGGAGCUGAGAGCUAAAAGGUGGGAGAUUAACAGGAGUGGUUGGCAGUGCAAUAUAGUAGUAAGUAUUGAGAAGAUUAAACAAGAACUUAUGGAGCCAGGAUGAUAGGGAUCCAGGAACCACCAAUAUUUGGAAAUUGGAGCAGACAGAUAUCUGUUCUGGAGAGGACGUGGGAUUGACUCACAGUAGCUUUAAGAUUCCCAGCAACAUUUUUAACACUGAAAUUCUGAUGUAACUGAUUCUAAGAAUUCACAUUAAAAUCUACGUCACUUUAUUCCUCAGUGAAAAUCUACAACAGCCUCUUGACACACCUAAGGUGCUCCUGUUUUUUUUGAAAAUAUGCCACAGAGUGUUUGCUGAAGUAUCAGGAAUAAUUAAA
rnacentral:lncRNA from 1 species